UACCAGCUCUCCGAGUGGUAGGGACGAUUAUUGGGCUUAAAGCGUCCGUAGCUGGCCCGGUAAGUCUCUCGUCAAAUCCAGCGACUCAAUCGUUGGACUGCGGGAGAUACUGUUGGGCUAGGAGGCGGGAGAGGCCGACGGUAUUCUCGGGGUAGGGGUGAAAUCCUAUAAUCCCGGGAGGACCACCAGUGGCGAAGGCGGUCGGCUAGAACGCGCUCGACGGUGAUGGACGAAAGCUGGGGGAG
rnacentral:rRNA from 1 species